CGCGGCCGCGGUGGCGGCGGCACUCUAGGGCGCUGACGUACGCUGGCUCGGGCUCAGAGGACUUGUAGGACUCAGUCCUACAGUCACAAGGAACUGAAUUCUGCUAAAAACCUAAACAAGCUUGGAAGUGGAUUUUUCCUCAGAACCUCGAGAUAAGAGCACAGCGCAGCCAACACCUUAAUUUCUGCUUGUCAACUUUAGAGAAACCACCCAAGCCCACCUGAACUUCUCAUCUACAGAACUGUGAGGUGGGAUCCUGGUUCACAAGCCUGGGGUUGGGCUGAAGCUCCUGCAGUGGGAGCUCCGAGUCCGAACCACUGGACUAACAGAGAUCCUCAGACCCCAGGGAAUAUUCAUCGGAGUGAGGUUUCAAGGAGUUCCUCAUCUCAGCACCAAGACCCAGCUCUACCCAAUAGCUUACAAACCCCAGAGUUGGAAACCUCAGGCCAAACAACCAGUAAGAAAGGAACAUGAUGCCACUCAUUAAAAAAAAAAAAAAAAAUGAGAUGGCCAAAAUAUAAGUCACAGAUGAAGGAGCAAGGUAAAACCUACAAGACCAAAUAAAUGAGGAGGAAAUAGGCAAUCUACCUGAAAAAGAAUUCAGAGUAAUGAUAGUAAAGAUGAUCCAGAAUCUCAGAAAUAGAAUGGAGGCACAGAUUGAGAAAAUACAAGAAGUGUUUAACAAAGAUCUAGAAGAACUAAAGAACAAACAAACAGAGAUGAACAACAUAAUAACUGAAAUGAAAAAUACACUACAAGGAGUCAAUAACAGAAUAACUGAGGCAGAAGAAUGAAUAAGUGAGCUGAAAAACAAAAUGGUGGAAAUAACUGCUGAGGAGCAGAAUAAAGAAAAAAGAACAAAAAGAAUUGAAGACAAUCUCAGAGACCUCUGGGACAACACUAAACGCAUCAACAUUUGAAUUGUAGGGGUCCCAGAAGAAGAAGAGAAAAAGAAAGGGUCUGAGAAAAUAUUUGAAGAGAUUAUAGGUGAAAACUUCCCUAACAUGGGAAAGGAAAUAGUCACCCAAGUCCAGGAAGCACAGAGAGUUCCAUACAGGAUAAACCCUAGGAAAAAGACACCAAGACACAUAUUAAUCAAACUAA